CUUGAAUAUGUUGCUCGCCAUAGACCAGCUGAUAUAAGACCCGUAUUGGCCUCUUAUCAAGGACGAGACAUAGCAACUGAAUUUAUUGGGCGUUCUAAAGAACAUCAGAGGUUCUGCUUAUAGCCUAUAAGGCAAAAAUAGCUUUAAAAAGUUGAUUAUCUGGAAGCUGGCGGAUGCUAGAACAGAAGCAGCAUGGGUUUUUCUCGCGGCGUUGAGG
rnacentral:misc_RNA from 1 species